rnacentral:rRNA from 1 species
UUAAGCGACUAAGCGUACACGGUGGAUGCCCUGGCAGUCAGAGGCGAUGAAGGACGUGCUAAUCUGCGAUAAGCGUCGGUGAGGUGAUAUGAACCGUUAUAACCGGCGAUUUCCGAAUGGGGAAACCCAGUGUGUUUCGACACACUAUCAUUAACUGAAUCCAUAGGUUAAUGAGGCGAACCGGGGGAACUGAAACAUCUAAGUACCCCGAGGAAAAGAAAUCAACCGAGAUUCCCCCAGUAGCGGCGAGCGAACGGGGAGGAGCCCAGAGCCUGAAUCAGUGUGUGUGUUAGUGGAAGCGUCUGGAAAGGCGCGCGAUACAGGGUGACAGCCCCGUACACAAAAAUGCACAUGCUGUGAGCUCGAUGAGUAGGGCGGGACACGUGGUAUCCUGUCUGAAUAUGGGGGGACCAUCCUCCAAGGCUAAAUACUCCUGACUGACCGAUAGUGAACCAGUACCGUGAGGGAAAGGCGAAAAGAACCCCGGCGAGGGGAGUGAAAAAGAACCUGAAACCGUGUACGUACAAGCAGUGGGAGCCUCUUUAUGGGGUGACUGCGUACCUUUUGUAUAAUGGGUCAGCGACUUAUAUUCUGUAGCAAGGUUAACCGAAUAGGGGAGCCGAAGGGAAACCGAGUCUUAACUGGGCGUUAAGUUGCAGGGUAUAGACCCGAAACCCGGUGAUCUAGCCAUGGGCAGGUUGAAGGUUGGGUAACACUAACUGGAGGACCGAACCGACUAAUGUUGAAAAAUUAGCGGAUGACUUGUGGCUGGGGGUGAAAGGCCAAUCAAACCGGGAGAUAGCUGGUUCUCCCCGAAAGCUAUUUAGGUAGCGCCUCGUGAAUUCAUCUCCGGGGGUAGAGCACUGUUUCGGCAAGGGGGUCAUCCCGACUUACCAACCCGAUGCAAACUGCGAAUACCGGAGAAUGUUAUCACGGGAGACACACGGCGGGUGCUAACGUCCGUCGUGAAGAGGGAAACAACCCAGACCGCCAGCUAAGGUCCCAAAGUCAUGGUUAAGUGGGAAACGAUGUGGGAAGGCCCAGACAGCCAGGAUGUUGGCUUAGAAGCAGCCAUCAUUUAAAGAAAGCGUAAUAGCUCACUGGUCGAGUCGGCCUGCGCGGAAGAUGUAACGGGGCUAAACCAUGCACCGAAGCUGCGGCAGCGACACUAUGUGUUGUUGGGUAGGGGAGCGUUCUGUAAGCCUGUGAAGGUGGCCUGUGAGGGUUGCUGGAGGUAUCAGAAGUGCGAAUGCUGACAUAAGUAACGAUAAAGCGGGUGAAAAGCCCGCUCGCCGGAAGACCAAGGGUUCCUGUCCAACGUUAAUCGGGGCAGGGUGAGUCGACCCCUAAGGCGAGGCCGAAAGGCGUAGUCGAUGGGAAACAGGUUAAUAUUCCUGUACUUGGUGUUACUGCGAAGGGGGGACGGAGAAGGCUAUGUUGGCCGGGCGACGGUUGUCCCGGUUUAAGCGUGUAGGCUGGUUUUCCAGGCAAAUCCGGAAAACCAAGGCUGAGGCGUGAUGACGAGGCACUACGGUGCUGAAGCGACAAAUGCCCUGCUUCCAGGAAAAGCCUCUAAGCAUCAGGUAACAUCAAAUCGUACCCCAAACCGACACAGGUGGUCAGGUAGAGAAUACCAAGGCGCUUGAGAGAACUCGGGUGAAGGAACUAGGCAAAAUGGUGCCGUAACUUCGGGAGAAGGCACGCUGAUAUGUAGGUGAAGCGACUUGCUCGUGGAGCUGAAAUCAGUCGAAGAUACCAGCUGGCUGCAACUGUUUAUUAAAAACACAGCACUGUGCAAACACGAAAGUGGACGUAUACGGUGUGACGCCUGCCCGGUGCCGGAAGGUUAAUUGAUGGGGUUAGCGGCAACGCGAAGCUCUUGAUCGAAGCCCCGGUAAACGGCGGCCGUAACUAUAACGGUCCUAAGGUAGCGAAAUUCCUUGUCGGGUAAGUUCCGACCUGCACGAAUGGCGUAAUGAUGGCCAGGCUGUCUCCACCCGAGACUCAGUGAAAUUGAACUCGCUGUGAAGAUGCAGUGUACCCGCGGCAAGACGGAAAGACCCCGUGAACCUUUACUAUAGCUUGACACUGAACAUUGAGCCUUGAUGUGUAGGAUAGGUGGGAGGCUUUGAAGUGUGGACGCCAGUCUGCAUGGAGCCGACCUUGAAAUACCACCCUUUAAUGUUUGAUGUUCUAACGUUGGCCCGUAAUCCGGGUUGCGGACAGUGUCUGGUGGGUAGUUUGACUGGGGCGGUCUCCUCCUAAAGAGUAACGGAGGAGCACGAAGGUUGGCUAAUCCUGGUCGGACAUCAGGAGGUUAGUGCAAUGGCAUAAGCCAGCUUGACUGCGAGCGUGACGGCGCGAGCAGGUGCGAAAGCAGGUCAUAGUGAUCCGGUGGUUCUGAAUGGAAGGGCCAUCGCUCAACGGAUAAAAGGUACUCCGGGGAUAACAGGCUGAUACCGCCCAAGAGUUCAUAUCGACGGCGGUGUUUGGCACCUCGAUGUCGGCUCAUCACAUCCUGGGGCUGAAGUAGGUCCCAAGGGUAUGGCUGUUCGCCAUUUAAAGUGGUACGCGAGCUGGGUUUAGAACGUCGUGAGACAGUUCGGUCCCUAUCUGCCGUGGGCGCUGGAGAACUGAGGGGGGCUGCUCCUAGUACGAGAGGACCGGAGUGGACGCAUCACUGGUGUUCGGGUUGUCAUGCCAAUGGCACUGCCCGGUAGCUAAAUGCGGAAGAGAUAAGUGCUGAAAGCAUCUAAGCACGAAACUUGCCCCGAGAUGAGUUCUCCCUGACUCCUUGAGAGUCCUGAAGGAACGUUGAAGACGACGACGUUGAUAGGCCGGGUGUGUAAGCGCAGCGAUGCGUUGAGCUAACCGGUACUAAUGAACCGUGAGGCUUAACCUU